AACGAACGCUGGCGGCAUGCCUAACACAUGCAAGUCGAACGAACCCUUCGGGGUUAGUGGCGCACGGGUGCGUAACGCGUGGGAAUCUGCCCUUUGCUUCGGAAUAACACAGAGAAAUUUGUGCUAAUACCGGAUAAUGUCGCAAGACCAAAGAUUUAUCGGCAAAGGAUGAGCCCGCGUAGGAUUAGCUAGUUGGUGGGGUAAUGGCCCACCAAGGCGACGAUCCUUAGCUGGUCUGAGAGGAUGAUCAGCCACACUGGGACUGAGACACGGCCCAGACUCCUACGGGAGGCAGCAGUGGGGAAUAUUGGACAAUGGGCGAAAGCCUGAUCCAGCAAUGCCGCGUGAGUGAUGAAGGCCUUAGGGUUGUAAAGCUCUUUUACCCGGGAUGAUAAUGACAGUACCGGGAGAAUAAGCUCCGGCUAACUCCGUG
rnacentral:rRNA from 1 species